AAACAAUAAAAAAUAUUGCAAAUUAAAUUCAGUGUUGUCUCGUUAAUAAAUAAUUAAUAAUUAUCGCGUAUUAGAAUCGGUGCAUCAUGGAAGAUGAUAAAGUACACGUCAUACGUAAAAGAAUAUUGAUCUUCCUUGCAUUAUCAUUAAAUCUAUUGAAACUACAACCAAACUUCAUUUUCGAUCUAGUUUAUAUCAAACCCUACUCAAUUUCGACCAGCAACGUGGACGAGUAUUUUGGAGCCAUCAGAGAACUUCAUAAGUAGUGGACGCCUGGGGAACAUAUGAAGGUCAACUGUGUUUUAUUAAAUGGAAUCAUAUGUUUUUGAUUGCAUCGGGUAGACACCAGCUCGAUAUUCUCUAUAAAAAAAGUAUUAACCCAUGUACGUUGAGAAAUUAUUAGUUUAUGGAGACAUUUAUAGUCGCUUACUCCGCGCUUGCUUUUGCAUAUUUGUGUUUCAUGUCCCUAUGAUCUUUAAAUUCCGAAGAUAU